rnacentral:rRNA from 1 species
GACGAACGCUGGCGGCGUGCUUAACACAUGCAAGUCGAACGGAAAGGCCCUGCUUUUGUGGGGUGCUCGAGUGGCGAACGGGUGAGUAACACGUGAGUAACCUGCCCUUGACUUUGGGAUAACUUCAGGAAACUGGGGCUAAUACCGGAUAGGAGCUCCUGCUGCAUGGUGGGGGUUGGAAAGUUUCGGCGGUUGGGGAUGGACUCGCGGCUUAUCAGCUUGUUGGUGGGGUAGUGGCUUACCAAGGCUUUGACGGGUAGCCGGCCUGAGAGGGUGACCGGCCACAUUGGGACUGAGAUACGGCCCAGACUCCUACGGGAGGCAGCAGUGGGGAAUAUUGCACAAUGGGCGGAAGCCUGAUGCAGCAACGCCGCGUGCGGGAUGACGGCCUUCGGGUUGUAAACCGCUUUCGCCUGUGACGAAGCGUGAGUGACGGUAAUGGGUAAAGAAGCACCGGCUAACUACGUGCCAGCAGCCGCGGUGAUACGUAGGGUGCGAGCGUUGUCCGGAUUUAUUGGGCGUAAAGGGCUCGUAGGUGGUUGAUCGCGUCGGAAGUGUAAUCUUGGGGCUUAACCCUGAGCGUGCUUUCGAUACGGGUUGACUUGAGGAAGGUAGGGGAGAAUGGGAUUCCUGGUGGAGCGGUGGAAUGCGCAGAUAUCAGGAGGAACACCAGUGGCGAAGGCGGUUCUCUGGGCCUUUCCUGACGCUGAGGAGCGAAAGCGUGGGGAGCGAACAGGCUUAGAUACCCUGGUAGUCCACGCUGUAAACGGUGGGUACUAGGUGUGGGGUCCAUUCCACGGGUUCCGUGCCGUAGCUAACGCUUUAAGUACCCCGCCUGGGGAGUACGGCCGCAAGGCUAAAACUCAAAGGAAUUGACGGGGCCCCGCACAAGCGGCGGAGCAUGCGGAUUAAUUCGAUGCAACGCGUAGAACCUUACCUGGGUUUGACAUGGAUCGGGAGUGCUCAGAGAUGGGUGUGCCUCUUUUGGGGUCGGUUCACAGGUGGUGCAUGCCUGUCGUCAGCUCGUGUCGUGAGAUGUUGGGUUAAGUCCCGCAACGAGCGCAACCCUUGUUCACUGUUGCCAGCACGUUAUGGUGGGGACUCAGUGGAGACCGCCGGGGUCAACUCGGAGGAAGGUGGGGAUGACGUCAAGUCAUCAUGCCCCUUAUGUCCAGGGCUUCACGCAUGCUACAAUGGCUGGUACAGAGAGUGGCGAGCCUGUGAGGGUGAGCGAAUCUCGGAAAGCCGGUCUCAGUUCGGAUUGGGGUCUGCAACUCGACCUCAUGAAGUCGGAGUCGCUAGUAAUCGCAGAUCAGCAACGCUGCGGUGAAUACGUUCCCGGGGCU